rnacentral:rRNA from 1 species
GUCUAUGGCCGUGCUUCCCUGAACAAGCCCGAUCCCAGCUGAUCUUGGAAGCUAAGCAGGGUUAGGCCUGGCUUGAAUGGGAGACUACCUAGGAAGACCAGGUGCUGUAGGUG